rnacentral:rRNA from 1 species
UUUAGCAAUAGAGAUAGUGGCGCACGGGUGCGUAACGCGUAACCAACCUACCCGAAUCUGGGGGAUAGCCCGCCGAAAGGCGGAUUAAUACCGCAUAAAACGGCAGACCGGCAUCGGUUCACCGUUAAAGAUUUAUUGGAUUCGGAUGGGGUUGCGUGCCAUUAGCUAGUUGGCGGGGUAACGGCCCACCAAGGCGACGAUGGCUAGGGGAGCUGAGAGGCUGGUCCCCCACACGGGCACUGAGAUACGGGCCCGACUCCUACGGGAGGCAGCAGUAGGGAAUAUUGGGCAAUGGUCGAGAGACUGACCCAGCCAUGCCGCGUGCAGGAUGAAGGCUUUCUGAGUCGUAAACUGCUUUUACCAGGGAAGAAAAAAGGGGAUGCGUCCUCUACUGACGGUACCUGGUGAAUAAGCACCGGCUAACUCCGUGCCAGCAGCCGCGGUAAUACGGAGGGUGCAAGCGUUGUCCGGAUUUAUUGGGUUUAAAGGGUGCGUAGGCGGCUUUUUAAGUCCGGGGUGAAAGCCCGUUGCUCAACAACGGAACUGCCCCGGAAACUGGAGAGCUUGAGUACAGACGAGGGUGGCGGAAUGGACGGUGUAGCGGUGAAAUGCAUAGAUACCGUCCAGAACCCCGAUUGCGAAGGCAGCUGCCUAGACUGUAAC